rnacentral:rRNA from 1 species
GAUCCUGGCUCAGGAUGAACGCUGGCGGCGUGCUUAACACAUGCAAGUCGAACGAAGCACUUUUACAGAUUUCUUCGGAAUGAAGUUUUUGUGACUGAGUGGCGGACGGGUGAGUAACGCGUGGGUAACCUGCCUCAUACAGGGGGAUAACAGUUGGAAACGACUGCUAAUACCGCAUAAGCGCACAGGAUUGCAUGAUCCAGUGUGAAAAACUCCUGUGGUAUGAGAUGGACCCG